GUGAAAGUCCCGUCUGGACUCAGAAACAAAGAAAAAAGAUACAUUUUCUUAGAGUCGCGUUCUUUGAGAUUGGAGCGCUAAUUGGGUGAUAAAUUUCAUCUAAAGCUAAAUACUAACGAGACUCCGAUAGCAUACAAGUACCGUGAGGGAAAGAUGAAAAGAACUUUGAAAAGAGAGUUAAAAGCGACUGAAAUCGCUAUAAGUGAAGCGGAGUGUUUGGGUGUCUAACAGUUCUUCCUGGCUGGUUUGCUGGUCAUUUUAAGUGCUUUUUUGUGACUUUGGGAUAGAUCAUAGUUGGGGGGGGGAGGUAUCCCCCCGCUUUAGCUUGCUAUUGCUUCCUUAUCCUGGAUUUCAUUGACUUAGAUCUAGGUCUCUAAUAUUGGUACAACUAAUAUUACAACAUCCCAAAGAAAUCCUUUCUCUCCGUCCCGUCUUGAAACACGGACCAAGGAGUCUAAUUUGUGUGCAAGUACAAGGGUGGAAAACCCACGUGCGAAACGAAAA
rnacentral:rRNA from 1 species